rnacentral:lncRNA from 1 species
CGGGGAUUUGAUCAAGGUCAUUACCACAUUCGGGUAAGGUUGUGCGAGAUUAAACUCUGUUGUCUAGGGUUGUACAGUCAGAUAUUGACCGUAAAUGAUCCAUGGUCCUUGGGUUAAAACCGUCUCAUAAUCCUCUGAAUUCUUGAAUUUCAUCAGGAAAUAUCCGUUCUCAAUAUCCAUCAAUUGGGAUGACAUGGAAGGCUUCCGAAAUCCAUUAAUCUGAUUUUGGAGUGCUGCAAAUCUAAUGUUUUGCCCCAACAACUUAAGCACCACUCAGGUAGACAUUUCUUUGAUUAAAAGUUGAUUAACCCGAUCCAAAAACUCAAUCGAUGGAACUCCGUUAACAGAUGACCUUUUGAUAUCUCCAUCAAGAAAAAGCAAAAUCAUCAUCCGUUUCAAGACUAACCACUUUACUCCCCCUUUUUGAUCAUGCAAUCUUUUACCGAAAAGCUUCUCUUUCUAGGAUAACGACGAUAAAGGAUUCGAAUCAACAACCAUCUCUGGAUCCGACCUUGAAUCUGUCUCUUUAAACCGCACCUUUUUAGUAUUCCGAUCACCAACAGAACAGGAACCAUCCCCAUUGUCACCACAGAGAGAAUUCGACAUCUUCUAUUUCAAUUCUAAACACAAAUUUCUGUUUAAAAUACAUAAAACUAGUUAAUUUAUGAAUAAUAUAUAAUUUAGCCCCUG